GGGCAGUUUGUAAAACCAAAGGGAGGGAAAUCCUCGGUCAUCCGAGUCCUCCAGGUCUGCUCGACCCUCUCUUUCUCUAUGGGGCGUGUGCUGGAUCUGAGAGGUUGGAGCUCUGGAGCAAUACCCUUAUUCCGCUGUUGCCUUAGGUCUUUACACGGGGAACAGGGCGGACCUAGUUCGAAAAGUGCAUAAACCUCGGACGGUGGCGCAGACUUGAGCUCAGCAACCGCUAGAGAAGGAAAGAUGCUGUGAUGAGAACCAGGCAAUGCCAGCCAAUUGGUCCGAUUUCACAGUCUGCGCACACCAGAAACUUGAUGUUGCCCACGUCCUUGGUGAAGCCCACGUUCUCAAAGAUGAACAUGUCAUCAACCAGCCAGUGCUCCUGGAGAAGCUCGCCGUCAGGAUUGCUGCCAUCAGCCAGAGCUGGUUUCUUUCUCAUGGAGGGAAGGAAAAGCUGCAGUGGAAAAGAACACAAAGAAUGCAAGAGCUGACUGGCCAGUCACGUCAUCACCCCCAUUCCACUCACACAUUACACUGCUCCCUAGCACUUUCUCGGAAUGAAAACAAAAUGAGGAGCCCGAUCAUUGAUGGAUGAGGAUGCUGGGCGGCUCCUCUGUUGCCUCUAGUCCAUGCCCUGAUUCUUACGAGACAUUAAAGAGGUAACAUGCUGUUUCCAACUGGCUUCACUGCUAUCUUUACCAUGGUCCAUAAGGCCCUGCCUGUUCCUAAUCUCCCUCCAGCCACACUGGCCUUGCCUUCUUCAAACAGGGUAAGUGUGCUCUGCCCUCAGAUCCUGGCAAGGCCGGUUCCUUCAUGAUAUUCAGCUCAAAUGUAACCUCUUCGGGAGGUCUUCUCUAACCAAACAAUCUGAAUUAGCUUCCCAUACUGCCCACUAUGUUUUAUUUUAUACUUUUUAAAGUUUACUUAACUAUUUUGAGAGAGACAUCAAGUGGGAGAGGGCGGGAGAAAAGAGAGAAUCUCAAGCAGGCUCCACACUGUCAGCAUGGAGACCAACGCGGGGCUUGAACUCACGAAGCGUGAGAUGAUGACCUAAGCUGAAACCAAGAGCUGGUCGCUUAACCAACGGAGCCACCCAAGGGUCCCUAUGUUUUUUUAUAUGGCUUUACUGAGGUAUAGUUGACACAUAUACUGCACAAUACUUAAAGUAUACAAUUUGAUACAUUUUGGCCCAGGCAUAUGCAGAUAAAUCAUUACCAGCAAGAUACCAAGCAUAUUCAUUACCCCCAAAGUCUCCUUAUGCCACUACCUCUUUAUUUUCUACUUACCAUUCUCUGAACUUAAUGUAUUGGCUUAUUUACCAUGGGUCUCCCUCCACUAAAAUGUAAGCCCCAGGAAAGGAAGGAGCUUACCUUUCCUGUUCACUACUAUAUCCCCAGUGCCUAGAGUAAUAACUGGCAUAGAGCAGGAACUCAAAUAUUUGUCAAAAGAAUAAAUACAGGAUACCUGGCUUUGCUCUAUUCCAUCACUGUAAGGUGUGUGCUGGAUUUAUCUUACAAAAGAACAUUAACAAGGAAAAUCUAGUUCUAGAAUUCGGAAUAGCAUCCCAAGGAUCCUUGUACCCACAAAUCAACAUGCCUUCCCAAUCACUACGAGAAAGCCUCUGGCACACGCGCGUGUAAGUACACACACACACAAACACACACCCUUUAAUUUCUUCCAUAUGGUUAGUUCACACACCUUUAGCAGCCCCACAGUAUUGCAAGAUACAUACAGCAAAGCUCGUUACUCCUCUGCUCUCAUCGAAAUGGCUACUGCCAAUACACUUAUUUUCCACCCUAUGAAACACUUUUCAGUUUUUACUUUAUUAUGACUAUGAAAAUAUUUGCUACAAAGCCAAGUAGUAGUCUA